AUGGGACAAGGGACAUCACCUCCCUUAAUUUGUCCCUUAUUUGGCCACUCUGUGGUUGUCAGGGAAGGGAUUCUACAGUGUCUUACCUUUCCUCAACAUGCUCCCCUCUUCCCCAUACGUGUGGCUGUGGGUGCACCUUCCUAUACACUGACAGUCCUCACUCACCUUCUCUUUCUGGCCAUUGGUAUCCUGGCAUUUCCCAUGUACCUGCUGAACUUUCUGGGCUUGUGGAGCUGGAUGUGCAAAAAAUGGUUCCCCUACUUCUUGGUGAGGUUCUCUGUGAUAUACAACGAACAGAUGGCAAGCAAGAAGCGGGAGCUCUUCAGCAACCUGCAGGAGUUUGCAGGCCCCUCCGGGAAGCUCUCCCUGCUGGAGGUGGGCUGUGGCACCGGGACCAACUUCAAAUUCUACCCACCUGGGUGCAGGGUGACCUGUAUUGACCCCAACCCCAACUUUGAGAAGUUUUUGAUCAAGAGCAUUGCUGAGAACCGUCACUUGCAGUUUGAGCGCUUUGUGGUAGCUGCCGGGGAGAACAUGCACCAGCUGGCUGAUGGCUCUGUGGACGUGGUGGUCUGCACCCUGGUGCUGUGCUCUGUGGAGAACCAGGAGCAGAUUCUCCUCGAGGUGUGCACAGUGCUGAGACCGGUGAGUGAGUGGGGGAGUGACAGUCAUUAG